rnacentral:rRNA from 1 species
GACGAACCGUGCGAAUGUUGUUCGGAAUCACUGGGCUUAAAGGGAGCGUAGGCGGGCUAUCAAGUCUGGGGUGAAAUCCCUCGGCUUAACCGGGGAACUGCGUCUGAUACUGGAUGGCUUGAGAUUGGGAGAGGGAUGCGGAAUUCCAGGUGUAGCGGUGAAAUGCGUAGAUAUCUGGAGGAACACCGGUGGCGAAGGCGGCAUCCUGGACCAACACUGACACUGAGGAGCGAAAGCCAGGGGAGCAAACGGG